UUGAAAGGGAAACGAUUGAAGUCAGUCGUACCUGUGGGUAAUCAGCCUUUUGGGUGUGAUUAUGUGGAGUGUGAAGAGUUAAACGCCUUUAUGCCUGCAUAUUCGUGCACUUUGGGUGUAUUUACCCGUGUGGUAAGUUAACAUCAAUUUUGGUCGUCAUAGAAUGGCUGGAGGAAUGUAGCUUCGAUCUCGUAUUGAAGUGUUAUAGCCUUCGGUAGAUGUGAUGAUCGGGAUUGAGGAUUGCAACGGAUACCCUUCGGGGCUACCUGUCUGAUCUCUGAUCGUUGCUCUGGUGCCGAAAGCUUGCUUACGGUUAUCAAAGUCGAUGGUCAAUAGGUUAGAACGGGUUAAAUUCGUUAAGGAUGUUGACGUA
rnacentral:rRNA from 1 species